UACGUAGGGUGCGAGCGUUGUCCGGAAUUAUUGGGCGUAAAGAGCUCGUAGGCGGCCUGUCGCGUCGGAUGUGAAAGCCCGGGGCUUAACCCCGGGUCUGCAUUCGAUACGGGCAGGCUAGAGUUCGGUAGGGGAGAUCGGAAUUCCAGGUGUAGCGGUGAAAUGCGUAGAGAUCUGGAGGAACACCGAUGGCGAAGGCAGCCUUCUGGGCCAACACUGACGCUCAUGCACGAAAGCGUGGGGAGCAAACAGG
rnacentral:rRNA from 1 species